UUUCAGCCAAUUUGAUUAUCGU
rnacentral:miRNA from 1 species